rnacentral:rRNA from 1 species
GACGAACGCUGGCGGCGUGGAUUAGGCAUGCAAGUCGAACGGUAUAAACCUUUCGGGGUUUAGAGAGUGGCGAACGGGUGAGUAACACGUAGGUAAUCUACCCUCAAACGGGACAACCCAGGGAAACUUGGGCUAAUACCGGAUGCGUGCAAGCAAUGUUUUGGUUGUUAAUGCUAUUCACGGAAGUGAGUAGUGUUAAUGGUUGAGAGCAUUAUUUGCAUAAAAGGUGGCAUAUGCUGCCGUUUGAGGAUGAGCCUGCGUCCUAUUAGUUAGUUGGUGAGGUAAUGGCUUACCAAGGCGAUGAUAGGUAGGCGGCCUUAACGGGUGGUCGCCCACACUGGGAUUGAGAGACGGCCCAGACUCCUACGGGAGGCAGCAGUCGAGAAUAGUCUACAAUGGACGGAAGUCUGAUAGUGCGACGCCGCGUGAACGAAGAAUCCCUUCGGGGUGUAAAGUUCUUUUAUACGUGAGCAGUGCCCUUUAUAUGAAUAGUAUAGAGGAGGGAUUUAAGCGUA